CAAGUCGCACGAGAAAGCGGGAGCAAUCUCGCAAGUAAAGUGGCGUACGGGUGAGUAACACGUGGAUUAUCUACCCUUGAGUGGGGAAUAACGCUGGGAAACCGGCGCUAAUACCGCAUAUUCCUGAGAAGGGAAAGCAGCAAUGCGCUCGAGGAGGAGUCCGCGGCCGAUUAGCUAGUUGGCAGGGUAAAAGCCUACCAAGGCUAUGAUCGGUAGCCGGCCUGAGAGGGCACACGGCCACACUGGCACUGAAACACGGGCCAGACUCCUACGGGAGGCAGCAGUGGGGAAUCUUGCACAAUGGGGGAAACCCUGAUGCAGCGACGCCGCGUGAGCGAUGAAGCCCUUCGGGGUGUAAAGCUCUUUCGGCAGGGAAGAUUAUGACGGUACCUGCAGAAGCAGCUGCGGCUAACUACGUGCCAGCAGCCGCGGUAAUACGUAGGCAGCAAGCGUUGUUCGGAGUUACUGGGCGUAAAGGGUGUGUAGGCGGCCUGUUAAGUUCCGUGUGAAAUCUCCCGGCUCAACCGGGAGGGUGCGCGGAAAACUGGCGGGCUAGAGUACGGGAUGGGAGAGUAGAAUUCCUGGUGUAGCGGUGAAAUGCGUAGAUAUCAGGAGGAAUACCGGUGGUGUAGACGGCUCUCUGGACCGUAACUGACGCUGAGACACGAAAGCGUGGGUAGCAAACAGGAUUAGAUACCCUGGUAGUCCACGCCCUAAACGAUGCAUAUUUGGUGUAGGUCAUUCAGUUGAUCUGUGCCGGAGCUAACGCGUUAAAUAUGCCGCCUGGGGAGUACAGUCGCAAGGCUGAAACUCAAAGGAAUUGACGGGGGCCCGCACAAGCGGUGGAGCAUGUGGUUC
rnacentral:rRNA from 1 species